rnacentral:rRNA from 1 species
GGCAAGGACGUGCCGGGGGGCGCGGGCAUACGGUGGGUGAAGGCUUCGUCCGGAGUUGUUGGGCGUAAAGAGCGCGUAGGGGGGUUGUCCCGUCGGCUGUGAAAACCUGGGGCUCAACCCGCGGCCUGCAGCCGAUACGGGCAAGCUAGAAUUCGGUAGGGGAGACUGGAAUGCCGGGUGUAGCGGUGAAAUGCGCAGAUAUCAGGAGGAACACCGGUGGCGAAGGCGGGUCUCUGGGCCGAUAUUGACGCUGAGGAGCGAAAGCGUGGGGAGCGAACAGGAUUAGAUACCCCGGUAGUC